CCUACGGGAGGCAGCAGUGGGGGAUAUUGCACAAUGGGGGAAACCCUGAUGCAGCGACGCCGCGUGGGUGAAGAAGCGCCUCGGCGCGUAAAGCCCUGUCAGCAGGGAAGAAAAUGACGGUACCUGAAGAAGAAGCCCCGGCUAACUACGUGCCAGCAGCCGCGGUCAAACGUAGGGGGCAAGCGUUAUCCGGAUUUACUGGGUGUAAAGGGGGCGCAGACGGCGAUGCAAGCCAGGAGUGAAAGCCCGGGGCCCAACCCCGGGACUGCUCGUGGAACUGCGUGGCUAGAGUGCAGGAGGGGCAGGGGGAAUUCCUGGUGUAGCGGUGAAAUGCGUAGAUAUCAGGAGGAACACCGGUGGCGAAGGCGGCCUGCUGGACUGCAACUGACGUUGAGGCCCGAAAGCGUGGGGAGCAAACAGGAUUAGAUACCCUUGUAGUC
rnacentral:rRNA from 1 species